rnacentral:misc_RNA from 1 species
AGUCAGUGUGUAUACGGCUGAAGGAGGAGAACAUUAUGUGUGAUUAGUGGUCUGCAGUAUGUACGUAUGUUAUUACACCUACCCAGGAGGAUCUCACCACAGCUCGGCCAUCGCCCCCACCCUCACCGCUGCACCGCAAGCCGCCACCAUCCCGGUCACUGAACCGCUGCUCGUACCCGCCUCACAGCCCGCCCUACCCCCUCAGACGGGAAUCCCUACCCUCACCAGUCAUAUCCCCAUCACAGUCUGCAGAAAGCGCCCCUCUGACGACCUGAUGUCACAGUCACCCAUGGUUACCAAUGGGACCAGUCCCCCUCACCUGUCCGGCUCGGACAAUGACGCAAAAAAGGUGAAGCUGGAACAGAACUCGCCCAAUGGGCCGUCCCGUGUGGUUCACAUCAGGAGUCUCCCGCCCGACUGUACGGAGGCAGACGUGGUCCAGCUCGGAAUGCCGUACGGAAAAAUGUCAAACGUCCUCCUGCUCAAACAGAAAAAUCAGGCAUUCCUGGAGUUUUUAGAUGAGCAGGCAGCCGUCACCAUGGUCAGCUUCCACCAACAGAACCCCGCUCAGAUCCGCAUGAAACCGGUCUAUGUGCAAUUUUCAAAUCACAAGGAGCUCAAAACAGACCAGGCCAACUCAUUUCAGAAUGCUACAGCCCAGGCAGCUCUUCAGGCGGCAUCCGCAGUGAUGGGGGGCCCCACAGAGGAGGGACAGAAACGCACCACCCUCCGCAUCAUUGUGGAGCACCUGGUGUACCCUGUAGGAAUAGAGGUGCUAUACCAGAUUUUUUCCAAAUUUGGUAAAGUUUUGAAGAUGAUUAUAUUCACCAAAAACAAUUCAUUCCAAGCUUUGAUUCAGAUGUCUGACCCCGUGGCAGCAAACGCAGCAAAACUGUCUCUUGACGGACAGAACAUAUAUAAUGGCUGCUGUACUCUAAGAAUUGACUACUCCAAGUUAAACAAUCUGAAUGUGAAAUACAACAACGACAAGAGUCGAGACUUCACAAACCCCAACCUCCCGAGCGGGGACCCCGGGCUGGACCAGGCCAUGCCCUUCGGAGGUUCGGGCAGCCUGGUGACACCCAUGGUUCCAGGGAUGGGAGCAGCCCCACUAACGGCCUACGGUGCCGCCAAUGUGGUGGGAGGCACACCUGUUUAUGCUCAAGUUCCUCAGAUGUCGAGUUACGGCGUUCCGAGUGCUCUGGGAGCUGCACGGAUGAUGACGUUGAAUGCGGCAGCAGCGGGAGCAGGGAACGCAGUGCUCCUGGUCUCCAAUCUCGACGAACAGGUGUCUAUGGUGACGUGCACCGAGUGAAAAUUCUGUUCAACAAGAAAGAUAACGCCCUGGUGCAGAUGGCUGAACCUCAUCAAGCUCAGUUAGCAAUUGCUCACUUGGAUAAAGUCAAGGUGUGGGGUAAGAAUAUCCGCGUGACACAGUCCAAACACACCCUGGUACAGAUGCCCAAAGAGGGACAACCGGAUGCUGGACUCACCAAAGACUUCACCAACUCCCCUCUACACCGCUUCAAACGCCCUGGCUCCAAGAAUUGUCAGAACAUCUUCCCUCCAUCCGCAGUGCUGCAUUUAUCCAACAUUCCACCCAACAUAGAGGAGGACUUUCUAUCUGAUGCUUUCGCGCAGCAUGGACAAGUCAAAGCAUUCAAAUUUUUCCCGAAAGACAGAAAAAUGGCGCUGAUUCAGAUGGCUUCAGUCGAUGAGGCGGUGACAGCACUGAUAGCUAUGCACAACUACCCCCUAAGUGACACCAACCACCUGCGAGUCUCAUUUUCCAAGUCCACCAUAUAGUGUGUGCCGUGUGCAGCCCAUCAUGACAUUACUGAACGUUGAUUAAUUGCCUCCCUUUGUGGGUGGGGCUCUGGUGGUAUAUGUGAAGUGCCUUUAUGUGGUAAUGGCAUUGGAGUUUUACAAAUGCCAUGUUGAAUGUGCAAUGAUCUCACAUUUACCAUUCUCGUCCAGUGUGGUGUCUGGGGGGUCAGGAACCACUGACCGGCUCACUGACCUCGCCCCACACCACACUGGACCCCAGGGGUCAAAUUUGUUCAGUUUCAAUUUUUAAUAGUUGAUUUAUUUUUAUUGUUGAAAUUGUUGGUCUACUAUAUGAUGUGUUUCUAACCAGGCUCUCCAGUAUUUUUCAACGUCCCACACAAAGAAAUCCAUUUCUACAUGUAAGCCUGGUUUUCAUUGGUGCUGAUAUCAGCAUUCAUAUCUAUUGAAUCACCCAGCUUUAACUACCAAGGACAGACUAGAGUGUCCAAAACAUUCAGGGGAACCGAAUCAUCAACUGUAAUGUCAGUUACCAUAGCAAUACAACAUGGCGGGGGGUAUACUGCUGUCACUGACACAAAUGGAUCUGAGGGAAUUAUGGGAACAAAAGUCAUCUUUUUUUGUACUAUGUUGAUGUUUUGUAGCUUUUUUUUAUCAAGACGGAGAUGUUUUUAUUUAUUACUGCUGGUCUCUGAUUUUUUGAGAGCCACAGUUCAGAGAUGUUACAGAUCAACUGUUAAGAUAUUACGACAUAUUUGUAAUAAAAACAAAUCAAAAUUAGCCUCUGUUGUCAUUACAGCUAUAUAAUCCUUCUCUGAUUUUCUCUGUCUGUUUUUUGUUUUCUUUGUCAUCACCAUAGUACUUUGUAUAUUUGUGCAUUAAACUUGACACUUG